GCACUAUUAGGCAAGACUUUUGUUCUUACUAUGAUUGUUCAGUUAUUCAAAGAUAAAUUGAAGAUGUAUCUUUAUUGAGAUUAAUGGCAAUCUCAGUUGUGUUUCAGAGAGCUUUGUAAAGGCCGAGUGAUAUGAUGAGAUCAGCAUAUUUGAAAUAAAUAAAGAUGUAACAGACAAUGCCGAUUAUUUGGAAACCUUUGGAUAUAGGUGCACAAGAUUUGUUAAUCGGUGUAGAACAUUCACAUUAUGGGGUACUAUUUGUUCAUGCGGAAAAGAGGACGUUUGGAGACCCAUGUGAGUGUUUCCGUAGAUAAAAGCACUUUGAGACAUGUUGUCCGGAUCCAUUACAAGAGGAAGAAGAAAUUAUUGUGGGAGCAGCGAUAUGUGAUAUUAUCUAAAGGUUGCUUAUAUAUCUACAAAAACAAGAAUUCAAAGAAACCAAUAGAAUCGUUCUCUCUCAAACAUUUUGAAUAUGUUCGGGAAUCUGAACCUGAGAAUGGAGAGAAUAUUUGCUUUUGUCUUCAUUACAGAAAAGGGAAACCACCAAGAUUAUUUGCAUGUGAUACACAUGAGACAAGAGAAGAAUGGAUAAAAAAGUUACGUUUGGAAAUGUCGCAUGUACAGUCAACGUUUUAUUUGUCAGCUGACAGUGAAUACGGAAGUGCAGGGACAGUUCCCGCUUUUAGAGAGUCGGAUAUUUACGAAACUGCGGAACUAGAUGAGGACGACCGAAAGUACGAUAAGGUAGAUGAAAGACGGUUUGAUAAAGCAUUUCAACCAGAUAAAAAAGACACACAGGCACAGAGGAAUAUAAAACAUAAAUUAUAUUCAGAGGAUAAUGAUUAUGAACCUAUAAACUGUCCUCGCGAACCCGAUGCAUGCAAAAGAGAAAUAGACAUUAAACCAUCAAUUCAAGGAUCUUAUGAAGUACUAGGAGCAGUAGAGAAGAAAGGACAGAUUAUAACGAAACCAAAGAUAUACAUGGAAGAGCUCAUUUCAAAAUUGAACAGUGAUCACAGAGGCCUGUCAAGCGUUGUUGGAAAAGAUACACAGGCUAAGACACCUUUAUUGAGAAGAGAUUCAUCAGGCUCUGUUGCAUCCUCAUUUGUAUCUGUCCAAGGAGGAGAUGAACAAUCUGAUAAUGUGAUAUCUAUAUCCUCCCAGCCUAUAGUACAAACGCAAGGGAAGAAGGAAGGCCAGACACAACAAAAAGUGAAACAUGAAUCACAUUCAGAGGAAUCCGAUGCUGAUUGUGAAAAUUUAACAGACCUGUUCUCAUCUUCAAUAUGCGACAGAGAAAAAUGUACUGAACUAGCAAACCAAGGACUUUCAGGAGGAAUAAAGAAGACGGAACAUUUAGAAACGAAACCAAAUUCAUUUUUAGGUGAGCUCCAAUCAAAAAUCAAGACUGGUCACAUGGGCCUUGCAAUAGAACGUGGAAAAUCUACAAAGGUACCAACUUCUACAACUUUUAGAAGACAUUCAAUGACAUCUGUAACAUCAUCAUUUCUGUCCAUCCGAGAAGAAGAUGAUAUAUCUGACAAUGUUCUCAGUCAGUACAAAUGAAAGUUAGUAUGUAUGAAACUGACAACGAUUCAAAUAAGAAAACAAAAGAAGAUAAGACAACUGGUUCAGAGAGUGAGGAUCAUCUGCAAAAGUGAUAUAAGGCAGUACGCACCGAGUGAAAAUACGUCAUCCUGAUAUUAGAACGUUCUGUGGUUGGAAGCUAAAGACGUAUGACUGAUAUAGAUUUCUGAUUAAGCCUAAGCUAGGGGACGCAGGAGGAACUGCAAAUCUCGUCAUCUCUCAUAAAAAGACUCAAACCAAGUCUGCUAUUAUUUUGCUAUUUUUAAUUCUGUGCUUACUGUACAAAGUUUAUUCUUAUAUAUUUUCUUUACAGUUUUGAAACUUCAUUCCUUAUCAAUUUUAUAUGCAUUGUCUUUGUCCUUACCGAAAUGAUAUAUUUUUGAAAUAACUUUCAGAACUCGACUGGACAGAUUUAAUAGUAAAUGCGUGACAAUAAAUGUGACUUUUGUAUAUGUACGAGAUUUGCUGCAAAUGACGUUAAACAAAAAAGAAUUGUACUGUAACUUAUAAUUUCAUGUUUUGUAUUUAUACUGCAUAUACUUGCAACUUUCUUUGUGUUGUACGGGACAAAUCGUCCAAUUAUCAUUCGAAUUAUUGUCCUUGUACAUAGCUUUUUGUCUACAGACACAAGCAAAAUGUUUAAAAAAAGCUGUGGUCCCUUUUUUAUUUCUGCACGAAACAGAGAAGUUUGAGCACUCAUUUUCCUAGUAAGAAUAUUUCCUAUCCAAUUUAGUUGUUUUGUCGCUGGUAGAAAAUAUGCUAACGCACACAUUUAACGUUAACAUACAUUUGUGAGAGAAGAAUAUGAACUUCAACUGUCUGUUGUAAAGUGUUUGAAAAUAAU